rnacentral:rRNA from 1 species
UACGGGAGGCAGCAGUGGGGAAUAUUGCACAAUGGGCGAAAGCCUGAUGCAGCUAUGCCGCGUGUAUGAAGAAGGCCUUAGGGUUGUAAAGUACUUUCAUCGGGGAGGAAAAAACAAAACUAAUAAUUUUAUUUCUUGACGUUACCCGAAAAAGAAGCACCGGCUAACUCCGUGCCAGCAGCCGCGGUAAUACGGAGGGUGCUAGCGUUAAUCAGAAUUACUGGGCGUAAAGAGCACGUAGGUGGUUUUUUUAAGUCAGAUGUGAAAUCCCUGGGCUUAACCUAGGAACUGCAUUUUGAAACUGAAAUACUAGAGUAUCGUAGAGGGAGGUAGAAUUCUAGGUGUAGCGGUGAAAUGCGUAGAUAUCUGGAGGAUACCUGUGGCGAAAGCGGCCUCCUAAACGAAUACUGACACUGAGGUGCGAAAGCGUGGGGAGCAAACAGGGAUUAGAUACC